rnacentral:rRNA from 1 species
GACGAACGCUGGCGGCGUGCUUAACACAUGCAAGUCGAACGGAAAGGCCCUGCUUUUGUGGGGUGCUCGAGUGGCGAAAGGGUGAGUAACACGUGAGUAACCUGCCCCUGACUUUGGGAUAAAUUCAGGAAACUGGGGCUAAUACCGGAUAGGAGCUCCUGCUGCAUGGUGGGGGUUGGAAAGUUUCGGCGGUUGGGGAUGGACUCGAGGCUUAUCCGCUUGUUGGUGGGGUAGUGGCUUUCCAAGGCAUUGACGGGUAGCCGGCCUGAGAGGGUGACCGGCCACAUUGGGACUGAGAUACGGCCCAGACGCCUACGGGAGGCAGCAGUGGGGAAUAUUGCACAAUGGGCGGAAGCCUGAUGCAGCAACGCCGCGUGCGGGAUGACGGCCUUCGGGGUGUAAACCGCUUUCGCCGGUGACGAAGCGUGAGUGACGGUAAUGGGUAAAGAAGCACCGGCUAACUACGUG